GGCCAGGUAGCUCAGUUGGUAGAGCAGCGGACUGAAAAUCCGCGUGUCGGCGGUUCGAUUCCGCCCCUGGCCA
rnacentral:tRNA from 3 species